rnacentral:lncRNA from 1 species
CCAGUGGUGCUGGCAUGAUGACGUCUAGAGGUAGUGCUCCGACCAAUGGUGAUAGGUUAACCAAAGGAAAAGAAGAAAAAGGGGUACUUCUCCUUGUGCCAUGGUGAUGGUACUCAAGGUUGGGAAGAAAAGCGAGGGAAGGGGCUUACCGAAAAUGGUGGCGACAAUGUCAAGGAUGGAAGUCGGUGGAUCUCACACCUGAAGACUCCCUAAAUAAAGCAACAAUGGUUCAAAGAGGAAGGGCUGGGUUUCAGGGAGGUGACGAUGCUUGACAAGAUGGCAUGGCAGCCAUCAAAGAUGAGGA